rnacentral:rRNA from 1 species
UUUCCUACGGGAGGCAGCAGUGAGGAAUAUUGGUCAAUGGGCGGAAGCCUGAACCAGCCAAGUCGCGUGAGGGAAGAAGGCCCUGCGGGUCGCAGACCUCUUUGGACGGGGAGCAAGGCCGCCGACGUGUCGGCGGAAGGAGAGUACCCGUAGAACAAGCAUCGGCUAACUCCGUGCCAGCAGCCGCGGUAAUACGGAGGAUGCGAGCGUUAUCCGGAUUUAUUGGGUUUAAAGGGUGCGUAGGCGGAUUUUUAAGUCAGCGGUAAAAUGUCCGGGCUCAACCCGGGCCGGCCGUUGAAACUGGG